GCGGAGGGAUCAUUACACAACAAAAUAUGAAGGCCUGGCUUUCGCGGCCGGCUGAAGUAUUUUUUUCACCCAUGUCUUUUGCGCACUUGUUGUUUCCUGGGCGGGUUCGCCCGCCACCAGGACCAAACCAUAAACCUUUUUUUCUUAUGCAGUUUCCAUCAGCGUCAGUAAAAACAAUGUAAUUAUUACAACUUUCAACAACGGAUCUCUUGGUUCUGGCAUCGAUGAAGAACGCAGCGAAAUGCGAUACGUAGUGUGAAUUGCAGAAUUCAGUGAAUCAUCGAAUCUUUGAACGCACAUUGCGCCCUUUGGUAUUCCAAAGGGCAUGCCUGUUCGAGCGUCAUUUGUACCUUCAAGCUUUGCUUGGUGUUGGGCGUUUUUUUGUCUCCCUCUUUCUGGGAGACUCGCCUUAAAACGAUUGGCAGCCGGCCUACUGGUUUCGGAGCGCAGCACAUUUUUUGCGCUUUGUAUCAGGAGAAAAGGACGGUACUCCAUCAAGACUCUACAUUUUUCACUUUUGACCUCGGAUCAGGUAGGGAUACCCGCUGAACUUAAGCAUAUC
rnacentral:rRNA from 1 species